rnacentral:rRNA from 1 species
CAGCAGCCGCGGUAAUACCGGCGGCCCGAGUGGCGGUCACUAUUAUUGGGCUUAAAGCGUCCGUAGCCGGGCUGGUAAGUCCUCCGGGAAAUCUGGUCGCUUAAAGAUCAGACUUCCGGAGGAUACUGCUGGCCUAGGGACCGGGAGAGGCCGAGGGGAUUCCCGGGGGAGGGGUGAAAUCCUGUAAUCCCGGGAGGACCACCAGUGGCGAAGGCGGCCGGCUGGAACGCGCCCGACGGUGAGGGGCGAAAGCCGGGGGAGCGAACCGGAUUAGAUACCCGGGUAGUCCCGGCUGUAAACGAUGCGGGCUAGCUGUUGGGCGGGCUUAGAGCCCGCCCAGUGGCGCAGGGAAGCCGUUAAGCCCGCCGCCUGGGGAGUACGGCCGCAAGGCUGAAACUUAAAGGAAUUGGCGGG